rnacentral:rRNA from 1 species
UACGGCCGCAAGGUUAAAACUCAAAUGAAUUGACGGGGGCCCGCACAAGCGGUGGAGCAUGUGGUUUAAUUCGAUGCAACGCGAAGAACCUUACCUGGUCUUGACAUCCACAGAACUUUCCAGAGAUGGAUUGGUGCCUUCGGGAACUGUGAGACAGGUGCUGCAUGGCUGUCGUCAGCUCGUGUUGUGAAAUGUUGGGUUAAGUCCCGCAACGAGCGCAACCCUUAUCCUUUGUUGCCAGCG